UCCCGGGGGUGGGCGUCCCCGGGGGCCGAUCGCCUCCACACUCCUGCCGGCCUGCGCUGUUCGGCCGUUCCGGUUAAGCAGAGGCUGAACGUGCCCGGUGGCGGGGGUUCCCGGUGGUGGCCCGGAGUCCUAGCCUGGAGACACCUUCAGCAGUAAACAAGAUAAAACAACUUCUUAAAGAUAAGCCUGAGCAUGUAGGUGUAAAAGUUGGUGUCCGAACCAGGGGCUGUAAUGGCCUUUCUUAUACUCUAGAAUAUACAAAGACAAAAGGAGAUUCUGAUGAAGAAGUUAUUCAAGAUGGAGUCAGAGUAUUCAUCGAAAAGAAAGCACAGCUAACACUUUUAGGAACAGAAAUGGACUAUGUUGAAGACAAAUUAUCCAGUGAGUUUGUGUUCAAUAACCCAAACAUCAAAGGGACUUGUGGCUGUGGAGAAAGCUUUAAUAUUUGAAAUCUCAGGACUCUUCUGGCCGUAGGUUCCAGGAAAGCUCGUGGAAGCUUUGGGGCUCACUGCAGAAAUCAUGUGACUGUCACGUGCUGGAAAAUAAAGUGAUACAUCUUGAAAAUGAAUCCAGUGUGUUGGAUUCCAGAAGAAAUGAUAUUUAUAUUCUCUAUAGGGGACAGAAAAUGAGAAGCCAUCACUCUUUUUGGAUCAUUUAGGUCUCUUGUAUCCUUUGUUUUAGAACCAGUUUCAUUAAAGUUGCCUUCCUGGGCACCUGUUUAUCCAUUUCCUGAACUGUGUGCACUCCUUAGAUCGCUAUUGAUGGCUUGAUCAUCCCUCAGCAUUUCUCCCAACCAGAUCGGUGACUCCUAAA
rnacentral:lncRNA from 1 species